UACGGGGGGAGCGAACGUUGUUCGGAAUUACUGGGCGUAAAGGGCGUGCAGGCGGCCUUGUAAGUGGGAUGUGAAAUGCCUUGGCUCAACCAGGGACAUGCAUCUCAGACUGCAAGGCUUGAGUAUAGGAGAGGAUGGGGGAAUUCUCGGUGUAGCGGUGAAAUGCAUUGAUAUCGGGAGGAACACCAGCGGCGAAGGCGCCCAUCUGGCCUAAUACUGACGCUCAGGCGCGAAAGCUAGGGGAG
rnacentral:rRNA from 1 species